rnacentral:sRNA from 1 species
CUAAAGCAGCAUGAGGGAUAGAAGUGGAAAUCCUUUUGUGCCGGGGUUCGGCACAAAAGAUUGUAACGGAUAGCCCGACCCGGA